rnacentral:rRNA from 1 species
UCGCGGUGGCGGAGCGUCGUUUGCGACGCCCAACACACAAAACAAGCGGUGAGUGCUUUGGGGUGGGGUGACUGCGUACCUUUUGUAUAAUGGGUCAGCGACUUAUAUUCUGUAGCAAGGUUAACCGUAUAGGGGAGCCGUAGGGAAACCGAGUCUUAACCGGGCGUUAAGUUGCAGGGUAUAGACCCGAAACCCGGUGAUCUAGCCAUGGGCAGGUUGAAGGUUGGGUAACACUAACUGGAGGACCGAACCGAC